rnacentral:rRNA from 1 species
AGCGAACGCUGGCGGUAUGCUUAACACAUGCAAGUCGCACGGAUCCUUCGGGAGCAGUGGCUGAUGGGUGAGUAACGCGUCGGACUCUUUCCAUGGGCGGGGGACUAUUCCGGGAAAUGGGGGCUAAUAUCGCAUGAUAUCCGCGGGUCACAGGCGCAAGAUGCGUGUGGAGGAACCUGCGUUCGAUUAGCUAGUUGGUGGGGUAAAGGCGUCCCAAGGCGAUGAUCGAUAGCUGGUUAGAGAGGAUGAUCCGACACACCGAGACUGGGACACGGCGCGGACUCCUAGAGGAGGCGGCAAUGGCUGAUCUUGCACAAUCGGCUGGAGGAUGAUCCAGCAAUGCCGCGUGAGUGAAGAUGGUCUGCAGAUUGAGAAGCACUUUCGACGGGGACGGUGAUGACGGUACCCGUAGAAGAAGCCCCGGCUAACUUCGUG